AAGUCGUAACAAGGUUUCCGUAGGUGAACCUGCGGAAGGAUCAUUAAAGAAAUGCGGCGGAGGAGUCCCCCAAAAAAGGGCUCCCGAGCCAACACGUUCUACCCUGUCUUUUUCGAUACCUCACCUCCUCCCCGGCACUCGUGCCGGGCUGGCUACUCAAAAGAACCCUGCAGUUUACAGUCAAAUUCAGUAACAAAAAAACAAAAUCAAAACUUUCAACAAUGGAUCUCUUGGCUCUG
rnacentral:misc_RNA from 1 species